CCUACGGGAGGCAGCAGUGGGGAAUUUUGGACAAUGGGCGCAAGCCUGAUCCAGCAAUGCCGCGUGCAGGAUGAAGGCCUUCGGGUUGUAAACUGCUUUUGUACGGAACGAAAAAGUCUGCCCUAAUACGGUGGGCCCAUGACGGUACCGUAAGAAUAAGCACCGGCUAACUACGUGCCAGCAGCCGCGGUAAUACGUAGGGUGCGAGCGUUAAUCGGAAUUACUGGGCGUAAAGCGUGCGCAGGCGGUUAUAUAAGACAGAUGUGAAAUCCCCGGGCUCAACCUGGGACCUGCAUUUGUGACUGUAUAGCUAGAGUACGGUAGAGGGGGAUGGAACUCCGCGUGUAGCAGUGAAAUGCGUAGAUAUGCGGAGGAACACCGAUGGCGAAGGCAAUCCCCUGGACCUGUACUGACGCUCAUGCACGAAAGCGUGGGGAGCAAACAGGAUUAGAUACCCUGGUAGUCCACGCCCUAAACGAUGUCAACUGGUUGUUGGGUCUUCACUGACUCAGUAACGAAGCUAACGCGUGAAGUUGACCGCCUGGGGAGUCGGCCGCAAGGUUGAAACGUCGAAAGAGUAGUAGACGNGNGAGAGCGACGACGACGACGACGGAGGGAGGAGG
rnacentral:rRNA from 1 species